CCACUUAAAUCAAGCCCAUUUGUUUACUUUUGAUUAAUAACACCUGGAACAUCAACUGUAGUGCAUCUUUCAACCUGUCAUGUCAUGAUUUUCUUUUAUUUUACCCCUGAGACGUAAAGUUUUUCUUAUUUAUUGUUUUAUUUUUCUUUUGAACAGCCUUUUAGGUGGAGCCAUAUCUUGAGAAACUAAAAGAGCCCCACCCUUUACUACAUUUUAGCAGCUGAUCCCUGUAAUUAAAGCUGGGAAUUUUCUGGAUGGAUUUAUGUCUGCUUACAUGGGUUUUCUCCAGCAGACCAACACAUGGAGCCACAGGAGGCGCGAAAACAGAUCGACACAUCAGUCGGCCAAUUACCAGCAAAUCAACAAGCAACUGAUCUUCAGGUUUAGAAUCAAAUAAUCAAAAUAAAGGGAGAAACCUC